rnacentral:rRNA from 1 species
UACAGAGGUCUCAAGCGUUGUUCGGAUUCAUUGGGCGUAAAGGGUGCGUAGGCGGCGCGGUAAGUCGGAUGUGAAAUCUCGGAGCUUAACUUCGAAGCUGCAUUCGAUACUGCCGUGCUUGAGGACUGGAGAGGAGACUGGAAUUUUACGGUGUAGCGGUGAAAUGCGUAGAUAUCGUAAGGAAGACCAGUGGCGAAGGCGGGGUCUCUGGGGCAACAACUGACGCUGAGGAGCGAAAGCGUGGGGAGCGAACAGG